CCUACGGGAGGCUGCAGUGGGGAAUAUUGCACAAUGGGGGAAACCCUGAUGCAGCGACGCCGCGUGAGUGAAGAAGGAUUUCGGUAUGUAAAGCUCUAUCAGCAGGGAAGAAGAAAGACGGGACCUUCCUAAAUAGCCCAGGCGAACUACGUGACAGGAGCCGCGGUAAUACGGAGGGGGCAAGCGUUUUUCGGGUUUACUGGGUGUAAAGGGCUGGUAGCCGGGAGGGCAAGUCAGAGGUGAAAGCCCAGGGCUCAACCCGGGGACUGCCUUUGAAACUGGGGAGCUAGAGUGCCGGAGAGGUAAGUGGAAUUCCUAGUGUAGCGGUGAAAUGCGUAGAUAUUAGGAAGAACACCAGUGGCGAAGGCGGCUGACUGGACAGUAACUGACGUUGAGGCUCGAAAGCGUGGGGAGCAAACAGGAUUAGAUACCCUUGUAGUC
rnacentral:rRNA from 1 species